GAUGAACGCUAGCUACAGGCUUAACACAUGCAAGUCGCGGGGCAGCAUGGGGGUUGCUUGCAAUCCCCGAUGGCGACCGGCGCACGGGUGAGUAACGCGUAUUCAACCUGCCCUUCACCACGGGAUAACCCGGCGAAAGUCGGACUAAUACCGUAUGUUGUCCAUUGACGGCAUCCGAUUUGGACGAAAGGCUUGGCGGUGAGGGAUGGGGAUGCGUCCGAUUAGCCAGACGGCGGGGUAACGGCCCACCGUGGCUACGAUCGGUAGGGGUUCUGAGAGGAAGGUCCCCCACACUGGAACUGAGACACGGUCCAGACUCCUACGGGAGGCAGCAGUGAGGAAUAUUGGCCAAUGGGCGUAAGCCUGAACCAGCCAAGUAGCGUGCAGGAUGACGGCCCUAUGGGUUGUAAACUGCUUUUAUGCGGGGAUAAAGUGGCCCACGUGUGGGCUUUUGCAGGUACCGCAUGAAUAAGGACCGGCUAAGUCCGUG
rnacentral:rRNA from 1 species